CUGCCUUGUCCAGUGUGCAAGGAGGCAUGGUGUCUUGGGACUAUGUGCACAGGUGUAUGUGCACAGGUGUGAGAGUGCACAGGUGUGAGUGCACAGGUGUGACUGUGUACAGGUGUGAUUGUGUACAGGUGUGUGUGCACAGGUGUGUG